GUCUGAGGGGAAGUUCGCGAGCGCUGGCUAUGGGUCCUGGGGCGCGGCUGGCGGCGCUGCUGGCGGUGCUGGCGCUCGGGACAGGAGACCCAGAAAGGGCUGCGGCUCGGGGCGACACGUUCUCGGCGCUGACCAGCGUGGCGCGCGCCCUGGCGCCCGAGCGCCGGCUGCUGGGGCUGCUGAGGCGGUACCUGCGCGGGGAGGAGGCGCGGCUGCGGGACCUGACUAGAUUCUACGACAAGGUACUUUCUUUGCAUGAGGAUUCAACAACCCCUGUGGCUAACCCUCUGCUUGCAUUUACUCUCAUCAAACGCCUGCAGUCUGACUGGAGGAAUGUGGUACAUAGUCUGGAGGCCAGUGAGAACAUCCGAGCUCUGAAGGAUGGCUAUGAGAAGGUGGAGCAAGACCUUCCAGCCUUUGAGGACCUUGAGGGAGCAGCAAGGGCCCUGAUGCGGCUGCAGGACGUGUACAUGCUCAAUGUGAAAGGCCUGGCCCGAGGUGUCUUUCAGAGAGUCACUGGCUCUGCCAUCACUGACCUGUACAGCCCCAAACGGCUCUUUUCUCUCACAGGGGAUGACUGCUUCCAAGUUGGCAAGGUGGCCUAUGACAUGGGGGAUUAUUACCAUGCCAUUCCAUGGCUGGAGGAGGCUGUCAGUCUCUUCCGAGGAUCUUACGGAGAGUGGAAGACAGAGGAUGAGGCAAGUCUAGAAGAUGCCUUGGAUCACUUGGCCUUUGCUUAUUUCCGGGCAGGAAAUGUUUCGUGUGCCCUCAGCCUCUCUCGGGAGUUUCUUCUCUACAGCCCAGAUAAUAAGAGGAUGGCCAGGAAUGUCUUGAAAUAUGAAAGGCUCUUGGCAGAGAGCCCCAACCACGUGGUAGCUGAGGCUGUCAUCCAGAGGCCCAAUAUACCCCACCUGCAGACCAGAGACACCUACGAGGGGCUAUGUCAGACCCUGGGUUCCCAGCCCACUCUCUACCAGAUCCCUAGCCUCUACUGUUCCUAUGAGACCAAUUCCAACGCCUACCUGCUGCUCCAGCCCAUCCGGAAGGAGGUCAUCCACCUGGAGCCCUACAUUGCUCUCUACCAUGACUUCGUCAGUGACUCAGAGGCUCAGAAAAUUAGAGAACUUGCAGAACCAUGGCUACAGAGGUCAGUGGUGGCAUCAGGGGAGAAGCAGUUACAAGUGGAGUACCGCAUCAGCAAAAGUGCCUGGCUGAAGGACACUGUUGACCCAAAACUGGUGACCCUCAACCACCGCAUUGCUGCCCUCACAGGCCUUGAUGUCCGGCCUCCCUAUGCAGAGUAUCUGCAGGUGGUGAACUAUGGCAUCGGAGGACACUAUGAGCCUCACUUUGACCAUGCUACGUCACCAAGCAGCCCCCUCUACAGAAUGAAGUCAGGAAACCGAGUUGCAACAUUUAUGAUCUAUCUGAGCUCGGUGGAAGCUGGAGGAGCCACAGCCUUCAUCUAUGCCAACCUCAGCGUGCCUGUGGUUAGGAAUGCAGCACUGUUUUGGUGGAACCUGCACAGGAGUGGUGAAGGGGACAGUGACACACUUCAUGCUGGCUGUCCUGUCCUGGUGGGAGAUAAGUGGGUGCUCCCCAUGAGGAGGUGGGAAAACAAAGAAGAGAUCAAUAAGCAGAUGGACGUGUUUAUGUCACAUAUACAUCCAGGAGCACUUAGCUCUGAAACAGAAAGAGAAGUGGAAGGGGGCUCAUAAGCUGAGGUGGAGGCUGCCAGGAGAUGCCACCCGUUUUUCUCUCAGUACUCUGGAAUGGCUUCAUGGGGAACAUGGGCUUCUAAAAUGAAGGUGGCCAACAAGUGGAUACAUGAGUAUGGACAGGAAUUCCGCAGACCCUGCAGCUCCAGCCCUGAAGACUGAACUGUUGGCAGAGAGAAGCUGGUGGAGUCCUGUGGCUUUCCAGAGAAGCCAGGAGCCAAAAGCUGGGGUAGGAGAGGAGAAAGCAGAGCAGCCUCCUGGAAGAAGGCCUUGUCAGCUUUGUCUGUGCCUCGCAAAUCAGAGGCAAGGGAGAGGUUGUUACCAGGGGACACUGAGAAUGUACAUUUGAUCUGCCCCAGCCACGGAAGUCAGAGUAGGAUGCACAGUACAAAGGAGGGGGGAGUGGAGGCCUGAGAGGGAAGUUUCUGGAGUUCAGAUACUCUCUGUUGGGAACAGGACAUCUCAACAGUCUCAGGUUCGAUCAGUGGGUCUUUUGGCACUUUGAACCUUGACCACAGGGACCAAGAAGUGGCAAUGAGGACACCUGCAGGAGGGGCUAGCCUGACUCCCAGAACUUUAAGACUUUCUCCCCACUGCCUUCUGCUGCAGCCCAAGCAGGGAGUGUCCCCCUCCCAGAAGCAUAUCCCAGAUGAGUGGUACAUUAUAUAAGGAUUUUUUUUAAGUUGAAAACAACUUUCUUUUCUUUUUGUAUGAUGGUUUUUUAACACAGUCAUUAAAAAUGUUUAUAAAUCA